rnacentral:rRNA from 1 species
AACGUAGGUCCCGAGCGUUAUCCGGAUUUACUGGGCGUAAAGCGUGUUCAGGCGGUCUAGCAAGUCGGUCGUGAAAUCUCUCGGCUCAACCGGGAGGGGUUGUCCGAUACUGCUGGGCUUGAGGGCAGCAGAGAGUGGUGGAAUUCCGGGUGUAGUGGUGAAAUGCGUAGAUAUCCGGAGGAACACCAGUGGCGAAGGCGGCCACCUGGGCUGUACCUGACGCUCAAACACGAAAGCUAGGGGAGCGAACGGG